UACGGAGGGUGCAAGCGUUGUCCGGAUUCACUGGGCUUAAAGGGUGCGUAGGCGGGCAGGUAAGUCAGAGGUGAAAUCUCCGGGCUUAACCCGGAAACUGCCUUUGAUACUAUCUGUCUUGAAUAUGGUGGAGGUAAGCGGAAUAUGUCAUGUAGCGGUGAAAUGCUUAGAUAUGACAUAGAACACCCAUUGCGAAGGCAGCUUACUACGCCUAUAUUGACGCUGAGGCACGAAAGCGUGGGGAUCAAACAGG
rnacentral:rRNA from 1 species